rnacentral:rRNA from 1 species
AGUGAACGCUGGCGGUAGGCCUAACACAUGCAAGUCGAACGGCAGCACAGUAAGAGCUUGCUCUUACGGGUGGCGAGUGGCGGACGGGUGAGGAAUACAUCGGAAUCUACUUUUUCGUGGGGGAUAAGGUAGGGAAACUAAGGUUAAUACGGCAUAGGACCAACGGGGGAAAGCAGGGGAUUUUCGGACUUUGGGCGAUGGAAUGAGCCGAUGUCGGAUUAGCUAGUUGGCGGGGUAAAGGCCCACCAAGGCGACGAUCCGUAGCUGGUCUGAGAGGAUGAUCAGCCACACUGGAACUGAGACACGGUCCAGACUCCUACGGGAGGCAGCAGUGGGGAAUAUUGGACAAUGGGCGCAAGCCUGAUCCAGCCAUACCGCGUGGGUGAAGAAGGCCUUCGGGUUGUAAAGCCCUUUUGUUGGGAAAGAAAAGCAGCAGGUUAAUACCCCGCUGUUCUGACGGUACCCAAAGAAUAAGCACCGGCUAACUUCGUG